rnacentral:rRNA from 1 species
GACGAACGCUGGCGGCGUGCUUAACACAUGCAAGUCGAACGAUGAUCUCCCGCUUGCGGGGGGUGUUUAGUGCCGACCGGUUGAUUAUUACUUAAGUAACCUGCCCUUGACUUUGGGUUAACCUUGGGAAACCGGUUUUAUUAUUGAAACCUAUUCCUUGCCGCUGGGUGGGGGUUGGAAAGGGUUUUACUGGUUUUGGAUGGGCUCACGGCCUAUCAGCUUGUUGGUGGAGUAAUGGCUCACCAAGGCGACGACGGGUAGCCGGCCUGAGAGGGUGACCGGCCACACUGGGACUGAGACACGGCCCAGACUCCUACGGGAGGCAGCAGUGGGGAAUAUUGCACAAUGGGCGGAAGCCUGAUGCAGCGACGCCGCGUGAGGGAUGACGGCCUUCGGGUUGUAAACCUCUUUCAGCAGGGAAGAAGCCACAAGUGACGGUACCUGCAGAAGAAGCGCCGGCUAACUACGU